GACGAACGCUGGCGGCGUGCUUAACACAUGCAAGUCGAACGGAAAGGCCCUGCUUUUGUGGGGUGCUCGAGUGGCGAACGGGUGCGUAACACGUGAGUAACCUGCCCUUGACUUUGGGAUAACUUCAGGAAACUGGGGCUAAUCCCGGAUAGGAGCUCCUGCCGCAUGGUGGGGGUUGGAAAGUUUCGGCGGUUGGGGAUGGACUCGCGGCUUAUCAGCUUGUUGGUGGGGUAGUGGCUUACCAAGGCUUUGACGGGUAGCCGGCCUGAGAGGGUGACCGGCCACAAUGGGACUGAGAGACGGCCCAGACUCCAACGGGAGGCAGCAGUGGGGAAUAUUGCACAAUGGGCGGAAGCCUGAUGCAGCAACGCCGCGUGCGGGAUGACGGCCUUCGGGUUGUAAACCGCUUUCGCCUGUGACGAAGCGUGAGUGACGGUAAUGGGUAAAGAAGCACCGGCUAACUACGUG
rnacentral:rRNA from 1 species